rnacentral:rRNA from 1 species
CGGGGUGAGUAACGCGUGGGUAACCUACCCUGUACACACAGAUAACAUGCCGAAAGGUAUGCUAAUACGGGAUAAUAUAUUCGAGAGGCAUCUCUUGAAUAUCAAAGGUGAGCCAGUACAGGAUGGACCCGCGUCUGAUUAGCUAGUUGGUAAGGUAACGGCUUACCAAGGCGACGAUCAGUAGCCGACCUGAGAGGGUGAUCGGCCACAUUGGAACUGAGACACGGUCCAA